UACGUAGGGUCCGAGCGUUGUCCGGAAUUAUUGGGCGUAAAGGGCUCGUAGGCGGUUUGUCGCGUCGGGAGUGAAAACACGGGGCUUAACCCCGUGCCUGCUUCCGAUACGGGCAGACUAGAGGUAUGCAGGGGAGAACGGAAUUCCUGGUGUAGCGGUGAAAUGCGCAGAUAUCAGGAGGAACACCGGUGGCGAAGGCGGAUCUCUGGGCCGCAACUGACGCUGAGGAGCGAAAGCAUGGGGAGCGAACAGG
rnacentral:rRNA from 1 species